ensembl:lncRNA
AUAUAUAUAUAUAUAUAUUCUGCCCGUGCUUUACCAUGUGUUUUUGUACUUGUAUUACCGCUCUGUAUUUACCCGUCCAGCCUCAUUAAAAUUGUGUAGUUGUGUAGUUUGAAGUAAACAUCCUUCCCUUCUUACCCGCACCUGGGGGACACAGGUAAAUAAAUAAGUAAAGACAACCGCCAGUCGUUUAUUAUUUUCCCCAUGUUGCGCAAGUUAAUGCAGGCACGCUCAUACUCACACAUGUCCACCUCCUUGCGCCUCCUCGUGCGGUGCGCGACUCGAGCCUGUCUGCUGACCUCGCUGUGACUUCCCUGCUCAUGCAUUAUUCAUGAGAUCCCCCCACACACACACACACACACGCACACGUUAAGGCCUCGCCGAUGCAAACGUAAAGCAAUCACGCUCAAAGCUGCGACCCCAAGAAAGAGGAAAGCCAUAAUGUGUCUGUGUAUGAUUACACGAGAUAGGAAGUAGCUACAUCUUUUUAAAUAUACUAUCUUCGUAUUAAAGCAGAAAUCCACAGAAUGGGCUAUAUGGGAAAUACGUAGCUCAAAUGGAACGAGAUUUUAAAUUUAAAUGAUCAAAUUCAGGCCAAGAAACAAACCAAAAUAUUUAACUAAAACACACAACACUUUUCAAUGCAACUCACGCUCUCCCACCUUGGUUCUCUCACCCUCCGCCCCCACCCACCCCUCUCUCUCUCAUGCCCUGCCAAUAAACCCACCAAACACAACAAAACACACCCAUUCGCUCCCACGGACCUCCCUCCCUCCCUCCCUCACACACACACACAGACACUGACGAACACAUCUUUGCAAUGCUACGGGUAGAAAAAGAAAGGGUAUUAGUUACUCACCCCACUCGUCAUCACCAACACACAGACCGCAAAGCCAAACUCAGCGCUUUCUGACAGCUUCAACGGGUUCAAAAGAGCAGCGGCAAGCCCGUGCACAUAACGCGCAUAAUGCAAAUAAUGCACAUAAUGCGCAUAAUGGCGAGGCAGAAGCGGCUCUGCAGGCUGGAGCUGCCCUGUGUACAUAAACGGCAAACAUACACACAGUGCGAGAACAACACAAAGGAGGCCAUACAGAGCUGCUGCACCUUCCGCUGUGUCACAGCCUUGCGCACUGUUUUUUAUCUUCAUCUUGACAAGCAAUUUGUGUCCCGCUCGCCGUGUCCUUGUGUGUGUGUGUGUGUGUGUGUGUGUGUGUGUGUGUGUGUGUGUGUGUGUGUGUGUGUGUAUAAGGCCACGGGGAAAGGGUGAUGUUCCUGUACCAUCAUUAAAAGGAGGAAGUCGAUGAAACAUGAAAUGUGGGAGUUUUUUCCUCUCUCUCGUCUUCCUGUUUACUGAACUGAAACUUCCUCAAGGAUCCAAGCCAGGCACGACCUACACGAAUCCACACACACACGCACGCACAUGAAAAUACACACAAAGGCCAUUGGGUGAUAUGAGCCGUUAUCUCACACCGGAUAUAGAAAAAGAAUUAUUGUCAUGAUGGAAAAGAAGGUGUUUGGAAAAACGUACAUUAAAAAACUGGUCUCAGAUUUUGCUGGAUUUGUUAAUCAAUAUUAUUACUGAUAGUAUUAACACCAUUACUACUUUUUGUUGAGAAUGUUUGACAUAUUUUAAUAUCAAGAAACGAGAAAACAAAGAAGACUUUUCCCGAAAGCCACUAGAUAAACCUUAAUGCGUUAAAGUAUUUACCUUUAAUUCCUUGAGUAAAUCUCCCGAUUGAUAUUUUUGGCUCGUGAUUUCGUGCUUUAAUAAUACAACACCACGUCAUUGUAAGAAGAACUGCAGUCUGGAAAUAAUUAUGGGGGUCCGCCAGAGCAAUUAUAAAUUGAAAAAAAUAAAUUUGUGGUGACAUCUUGUGUAUUGAAAUUAACCUUUUCUACAUUAGUUACCUGAAUAAUUUUACCUUGAAGAAAAGGGGGUAUGUCCUCUAAGAAAUAUGACUCUAACAAACAUUUGUGUGAAGCCGGUGAAUAAUCACUGUGAAGGUGGAGGGGCAUCGCCGGGAAUACCCGCAUCGGGGCCAGCGGGCCAAGUGAUCGUUAUAAAUGACAGGUUAAGAGCAGAGAGAGGCUUCCGAGAGCAGAGUCCUCCUCUCUGAUUAGCGGGAUCAACUCGCUGCCAUAAAAACGGUAACUCUUCGUUAACUUAUGCUUGUAGUCCUACGCUGUGACUUAUAUUGUAAAAAUAGAGGAAAGAAAAAUAAUAAAGGUAAUAGAACAACUAACAGAAAUAAAGAACUACUCGAAUAUAUCGCACAUACACGUCUAUAACAUAACAGCAUAAAACGUGCAUAUUGUUUUAAUGCAAUCUUGCAGACACAUCACGUAAAUGAGAAAACACGUAUCACUAUUUUUUACAGGGGCUUUUAUUUGGCGGCCUUCAUCGGGAGCGAGGUUAUAUUAUAUUUUCUGAAAUUAAAUGUUUGCUACCAAAUAAAUCGCAAUCAAAAUAUAUGCGGGGUCUGAUUUAAGUAAAUAACACUGUUGUUCAUGUAUACACUCACACAAGGACUAUUCAUUUAAAUGUUUAUGACGUUUUUAUAACCGGGGUCUGGCUAUUUCCAUCUGGGUGCUUUGAUUAAAAGUUUUUUAAAGUUUUAAACUCCACUAUGUAUCUACACGUAUAAGAGAGUUCACUCUUGACGGGAGACAUCAAACAAUUUACAUGAAGGAUCUGCGCAAUAUGAGGCCAGCGUGCGCGCAGAGGAAAACGGCGCACGGUGAAAACGGUGUUUCUAUAUGCAUGCUGCUGUGUUUGUGUGUGCCUGGUGGGUUCACUGUGAGUCCAACAUCAAGCCAAAGAUCCGUUGUACUACAAGCUAGUAACCCCUGAGCCUGUAUCCACGACUUUUUCACUCACACCCAUCCUGCCUGGAAAAUACAAGGGCGCAAAGGGCGGGGAGGGUGGAAUUUUUUCUUCUUGUCCAAGGACGCGUUUGUGUGUCCUUUCUGCUAUAGUUAUUGGUUAAUGUUACACACGUGCAUUUCCCCACUUCCCUGAAUCCCUUAGUAGAGUGAUCCCCAACCUUUUUGACCCACGCACCGGUUUUAUGUUAGACAAUAUUUCAUCCAGUCUUGAAAAAAUCAUCACUCGGACCUUGGAAUCACUGAACAACCUCCUCGGCUAUAGUCACAAAGCUGUUGUUAAAGCACUUCAUCCAAACAUCUUCAAAAUAUACGAGGAAACGGCAUGAUAGUGAGCAUCUGGACGUCAUAACAGAUCCAACUCCUUCAUGUAUUAUGCUUGUUAAAGUC